CCUCAUGAGCUCGGGGCUCAUGGGCUCAGGCAGUGGAGCUAGAUUCUGUUAGUUGCUCAUUUGUCUGUGUUUUUUCGGGGGACCAGGUCAUCCAGCCCUGGCUGGCGUAGAACUCGCUAUGUAGUAGGCCAAGCCAGCCUUGAACUCAAUUCUUCUGUUCUCUGCCCUUCUGGAUUUCAACUCAGCACCCCCAUAUCACAGAAGGCUGCAGCUGUGGUUCUGUGGAGGAAAAGCAGGGCCCGAGAGUCCAGUCUCUCCUGGCAGUCAGUGCCCUUCCUGGGAUUCAAGAGAGAAACUUCCUUUUCCACAGUCUAAUGUGUAAGAUGUCAGCCACCACACCUGGCCUGCCACACUUCCUUGAUGCUAUUGACAUUUAUAAUAGCAAGCAGGUUUUCUCCCUUUGGGUCCGGAGAUCAGAGUUCUUUGUUGGGAUUGAAAGCAUGAACGUGUCAUUUGAUGGGGCUUUGGACAGUGGUCAUGACGUGAAGAAUUAGGAAGCCAUAGGCUGGGAGGCAAGCCCAGGGACAUGACCUGCAGAGGAAGGCCCAUGCACCUGCCACCAGGCAUCGAAGACCUCAAGGCCAUUCUCCGGUGAACCCAGGGGUGACAGACUGAACAGUGAAUUGCCAAGACCGAGGGCUGAUCUGCUCUACAGAUGUCUCCUGCAGACUCCAAAGCAUUCUAUAACCUAUUCUAACCACGGCUCUGUGCGGGCUGUGGUGCUUCUGUGCCCUCUGCCCCUGGCACAGCAUGAGGCCGGCAGCUGAUUCAGCGCAUUGUCUGGAGACCCAGCAUGGUGCCAUCUCUGCUGACUUUCAUCUCUAUUGGCUAAGAAUCCUUGCCAACAGGGCCUCUGAAAUGAGGGAGGCACACACGGAUCUGCCCGGGAACGUGUGCUACAAGGUUAAGCGUGUUUGCCCAGGCGAGGUGGGUAAUGCUCUUAUCAUGUAUGACCUUUACAAUAUGUGGAAUACUGUCCGGGACAAAAUCACCACUAUUAAGAUGGUUUCCACACCAGGGUACCAGCCAUUAAUCACCAUGCAUGUGAGUGGCUGUGGGCGCUGCCUGAGAAGCCUUGAGUCCCACAGUAUAUGCCAGCCUGCUGCUGGCUCUUCAAGUCUCACCCCCUUAUGAUCUUUAGGUCCUGUGGUCUCAUAUCAUUCUGAUAUCCCAAAAUUCCAGCAUCACUAGAAUUCUAGCAUACCUGUACCCAUAUAUCCUGACAUCCUGGCAUCCCUGAAUCCGGGAUUCUCAUUUCUUUCUAUCAUAGCAUCCCUAUAUGCCAGCAUCCCCAGAGUUCUAGCAUACAAACACCCACAUAUCCUGACACUCUGGCAUCCCUGAAUCCAGCAUCCCCAUUUCUCUUUAUCACAGCAUCCCUAGAUCCCAGUAUCCCUGUGUCCAAGUACCCCUGUGUCCCCAGCACCCUUGUGUCCUGGUAUCCCAGCAUCUCUGUAUCCCUGCACCCGGGCAUUCCUGUAUGGUCAUAUUCCUGAAUCCUGGCAGACCAGCAUCCUAGGAUCCCAG
rnacentral:lncRNA from 1 species